GANGCUACUUCAACCAUCGCGAACUCGUCCAAGUUGCUUCGGCGGCGCGGCAUCCCGUCACCGGGGCGCCGCAGCCCGGCCUCUCCGGAGGUGCGGGGCGCCCGCCGGAGGUACGAAACUCUGUAUUAUAGUGGCAUCUCUGAGUAAAAAGUAAAUAAGUUAAAACUUUCAACAACGGAUCUCUUGGUUCUGGCAUCGAUGAAGAACGCAGCGAAAUGCGAUAAGUAAUGUGAAUUGCAGAAUUCAGUGAAUCAUCGAAUCUUUGAACGCACAUUGCGCCCGGUAGUACUCUACCGGGCAUGCCUGUUCGAGCGUCAUUUCAACCCUCAAGCCCUGCUUGGUGUUGGGGCCCUACGGCUGCCGUAGGCCCUGAAAGGAAGUGGCGGGCUCGCUACAACUCCGAGCGUAGUAAUUCAUUAUCUCGCUAGGGAGGUGCGGCGUGCUCCUGCCGUUAAAGACCCCAUCUUUAACCAAGGUUGACCUCGGAUCAGGUAGGAAUACCCGCUGAACUUAAGCAUAUCAAU
rnacentral:rRNA from 1 species